rnacentral:rRNA from 1 species
CCUACGGGGGGCAGCAGUGGGGAAUAUUGCGCAAUGGGGGCAACCCUGACGCAGCAAUGCCGCGUGAGUGAAGAAGGCCUUCGGGUCGUAAAGCUCUUUUAUGGGGGAAGAUGAUGACGGUACCCCAUGAAUAAGCACCGGCUAACUACGUGCCAGCAGCCGCGGUAAUACGUAGGGUGCGAGCGUUGUUCGGAAUUACUGGGCGUAAAGGGCGUGCAGGCGGAUUGGCAAGCCGGAGGUGAAAGCCCGGGGCUCAACCCCGGAGGGUCUUUCGGAACUGCCAGUCUUGAGAGGGUCAGGGGCCAGCGGAAUUCCUGGUGUAGAGGUGAAAUUCGUAGAGAUCAGGAGGAACACCGGCGGCGAAAGCGGCUGGCUGGGGCCACUCUGACGCUGAGGCGCGAAAGCGUGGGGAGCAAACAGGAUUAGAUACCCUUGUAGUC